rnacentral:tRNA from 1 species
CGGGGGUGAUGGAAGUGGCUUUCAAAACCAAGGGUGUCACCCCGGCGCAGUUCCCCGGGUUCGAC